rnacentral:rRNA from 1 species
ACUGAACGCUGGCGGAAUGCUUUACACAUGCAAGUCGAACGGCAGCACGGACUUCGGUCUGGUGGCGAGUGGCGAACGGGUGAGUAAUGUAUCGGAACAUGCCCAGUCGUGGGGGAUAACGUAGUGAAAAUUACGCUAAUACCGCAUACGAUCUAUGGAUGAAAGCGGGGGAUCGCAAGACCUCGCGCGAUUGGAGCGGCCGAUAUCAGAUUAGGUAGUUGGUGGGGUAAAGGCCCACCAAGCCAACGAUCUGUAGCUGGUCUGAGAGGACGACGAGCCACACUGGAACUGAGACACGGUCCAGACUCCUACGGGGGGCAGCAGUGGGGAAGUUUGGACAAUGGGCGAAAGCCUGAUCCAGCCAUUCCGCGUGCAGGAUGAAGGCCCUCGGGUUGUAAACUGCUUUUGUACAGAACGAAAAGGUUUCUACUAAUACUAGGAGCUCAUGACGGUACUGUAAGAAUAAGCACCGGCUAACUACGUGCCAGCCGCCGCGGUAA